UACGUAGGGGGCAAGCGUUGUCCGGAAUCAUUGGGCGUAAAGAGCGCGUAGGCGGUCCGGUAAGUCCGCUCUGAAAGCCCGGGGCUCAACCCCGGGAGGCGGGCGGAUACUGUCGGGCUAGAGUCCGGAAGAGGCGAGUGGAAUUCCUGGUGUAGCGGUGAAAUGCGCAGAUAUCAGGAGGAACACCGAUGGCGAAGGCAGCUCGCUGGGACGGUACUGACGCUGAGGCGCGAAAGCGUGGGGGAGCAAACAGG
rnacentral:rRNA from 1 species